GACGAACGCUGGCGGCGUGCUUAACACAUGCAAGUCGAGCGGUAAGGCCCUUUCGGGGGUACACGAGCGGCGAACGGGUGAGUAACACGUGGGUGACCUGCCCUUAGCUCUGGGAUAAGCCUGGGAAACUGGGUCUAAUACCGGAUAUGACCUCAUGACUCAUGUUGUGGGGUGGAAAGCCUUGUGCGGCUAGGGAUGGGCCCGCGGUCUAUCAGCUUGUUGGUGGGGUAAUUGCCUACCAAGGCGACGACGGGUAGCCGGCCUGAGAGGGCGACCGGCCACACUGGGACUGAGACACGGCCCAGACUCCUACGGGAGGCAGCAGUGGGGAAUCUUGCGCAAUGGGCGAAAGCCUGACGCAGCGACGCCGCGUGAGGGAUGACGGCCUCGGUUGUAA
rnacentral:rRNA from 1 species